CUCCCUCCUGCCCCGGAGGCUCCGGGAGCGCCAGCUAAGGUGGGAUUAGGCUCUCGGGGAAAGGGUAGCAGGGUGGGGAUGGAGCGCUGCCCUUCCGAGGAACGUGGGUGGGGGCACCCUCACUAGAGCGGCUGUGGACAUACGCUAAAUCCCUGCCUACACACCCAAAAUUGCUAGGGCUGUGGACUUUCUCAUCCGCCGCCUCCAGGGCUUCGGUUCUUGAGAUUUGCAGAAGUGCACCUCCACCUCCUGCCCAUUCCGCUGUCGCGUCCUAAACCCAGUGGGAGGCACGGGAUGACCCAGCCCUCGGGACCCUUUUCCCCAGAUUAUAGGUUACUGAGGAUUGCGGGGGUUGGCGGGAGGAAUGACUCCCUACCCCCACCCCCGCCCGUAAAGUUGGUGGAGCGGGUGGUGACAGACAGUUUGCCCCUUUUGCAGAUGGCCCUAUAAAUAAAAAACGCACUUUCUCCCCUGCUUCCUAAGAGUGUGUUUCUCCCCCACCCUAAUCUCCUCCUUUUGGCCCUCAAAGCCUGCUAGUGAAGAGAAGGAGAGAAGAUAGUGUUUCGAGAGGAAAGACGUGAAACUAGUAUUUACUGAGAACAUACUAUGAACCGGGCAUUCGAGCUAGGUCGCUGCGUUUAUGGCUGAAUGUUCACAACACUCGAGAAAUUAUUUGCCUAGCCGUUCAAACCCGGACACACCUGACUCCAUUGGGUCACAAAGGGGUGUGUAGGUGGGGAGAAUGCACUUUGGGAGGCCAAGGUGGGAGGAUCGCUUGAGCCCCGGAGUUCGAGACCAGCCUGGACAACAUAGGGAGACCCCAUCUCUACAAAAAAUUAAGAAAUUAGCUAGGCAUUGUGGCAUGUACCUGUAGUCCCAGCUCUACUCGGGAGGCUGAGGUGGGAGGAUAGCUUGAGCCUGGGAGGUGAAGGCUGCAGUAAACUGUGAUCACACCACCACACUCUAGCCUAGGCGAAAGAGUGAGACCCUGUCUCAAAACAAAACAAAAUAAAACAACAACAAAAAA
rnacentral:lncRNA from 1 species